rnacentral:rRNA from 1 species
GUGCCAGCCGCCGCGGUAAUACAGAGGUCCCGAGCGUUGUUCGGAUUCAUUGGGCGUAAAGGGUGCGUAGGCGGCGGGGUAAGUUUGAUGUGAAAUCCCGGGGCUCAACCCUGGAAUUGCAUUGAAUACUACCUUGCUAGAGUACCGGAGAGGAAACUGGAAUUUACGGUGUAGCAGUGAAAUGCGUAGAGAUCGUAAGGAAGACCAGUGGCGAAGGCGAGUUUCUGGACGGUAACUGACGCUGAGGCACGAAGGCCAGGGGAGCAAACGGGAUUAGAAACCCGCGUAGUCC